UACGUAGGUGGCAAGCGUUGUCCGGAAUUACUGGGCGUAAAGCGCACGUAGGCGGAUACUUAAGUCAGGGGUGAAAUCCCGGGGCUCAACCCCGGAACUGCCUUUGAUACUGGGUAUCUCGAGUCCGGAAGAGGUGAGUGGAAUUCCGAGUGUAGAGGUGAAAUUCGUAGAUAUUCGGAGGAACACCAGUGGCGAAGGCGGCUCACUGGUCCGGUACUGACGCUGAGGUGCGAAAGCGUGGGGAGCAAACAGG
rnacentral:rRNA from 1 species